GUGAAACCCAAGCUUUGAACCGAACUGGGCCCGGUCCACUUGACCGGCCCAGCCACCAGUUCCGGCCUCACGUGCGUUGCACAUGAGGGCACACAGUGAGGAGGUGGAGGGGAUCCAUCCCGAAGAAGCCGGGAUCCCCUGUUUUAGGGCAUUCUCCUCCUCCCCUUUGAGACCAUUCGAGGUAGAGCCGCCACACCUGAGUUCUUCCUCCUCAGGCUGCCGGCAGAGAGAGAGAGAGAGCGAAAGAGAGAGGGAGAUAGAGGGCUUUGGGUCUUCUUCGGUACAAGGGGUCUUCUUCUUCCUUACCGCCGGAGAGGAAGAAAGCCGCCGGACUUUCGUCGGGGCUGAGGUUCUGCGACGGAUUUACGGAAUUAAUUGGAUUUAUUGAGGAUCGCGUUCGCAAGUAAGUGAUGUAACCUCUUUCCUAGAUUUAUCGGCAAAGUAAAUAUCUGUUUUACGAAUCGAAUUAUUUAUGAUUUCGAAUUUGAUGCAUGGAUUAUAUGUGUAUUUUAGAAUAUUAUAUGAUUAUGAUUGAACGUAUUUGCUUCUGAUUUGAAUUGUGUUUAAUUGCUCCGACAUUGUAUCUUUUGGCUUGGAACACUAAACAUAAUGUAAGAAAAGAUUAUGACUUGAAAUAGAUUCAGACUUGCAGUCGGGCUAUGUUGAGGACCCUGCCAAUGGGGGCUAAUACAUUGGUACCGCAAGAAGAAUAGUCGGUGAUAUGACCCUACCACAGGGAACAUGUGGUCAUAGUUCCUGGCUGUUGAGUUGAAUCUGAUAAAUUGAAAGAAAUUAAGAUAUGAACGACAUUUGGUUUUGACAUUGUAUGUUUCUUUUAUAUAUAACUGAAAUGUGAAAUAGAGAACAAGCUGAACUGUCGACCUGGCUAUGUUGAGGACCCCGCCAAUGGGGGCAGAUACGUUGGCAAUUGACUGUCCUGAAGGACUCACCGCAAGAAGAUUAGUCGGUGUUGAUGACCCUGCCACAGGAAACAUGUGGUCAUAGUCCAGGAUCGACAUGAUAAAUUGAAUAUGUAAAAGAAUCUUUUGAAUUUAAGAAAUAUUUGACUUAUACUUUGGAACUGCAUAUUUAUUUAUUUUCCACAUAUUAUUGCUUGAUUUAUCUAGCUAGAGUGUUCAUUACUUACUGGGCUGUCUAGCUCAUUAUACCCUCUCUUGUUGUUUUACAGAUUUCAAGAACUAGUCUAUUGGGGAUUCAAAUUGGGAGAGCGACUAGAAGGAUUGUGGCACAAGUUAUCUUAGAUUAGGGUUAUUUAAGUUGAUUUGUUAUUAUGGACAUUUAUUAUGAUUGGUGGACUUUUAUUAUUUUAAGAACUAGGUUUCUGCAUGUUGGUAAAUGAUUAUUCCGCUGCAUAUUUAGACUUGUGAGACAUUAUGACUUGAGUUAGUCAAUGGAAUAAGAUUCCAAUUUAUUCUCUUAAAUUAUUUUGGAAAUUCAUAAUUGAGGUGUUUGGUUUAGAUGCCUUGCAUGCUUGUGGGGAGAGUUUCCUACGGGUGUGCGGCGGUUGGCGCGACCCCCGGCCCGCGAUCUCGGGACGGGGGCGUGACAACUUAAGUGGUAUCAGAGCGUAGGUUGAUAAAAUCUAAGACAAAGAAUCUGACAUAAGAUGAGUGUAGGUGGAUAAACACUAAGGGCAUUGGACGUGAAUCCAUGUCAAUUGCAUUGUAAGCUACUUUCAAGAUUUUCUAUUAAGCCUUGUGAUAUAUUAUGUAUGAGAAGGUUACUAGGAAAUUAUGAUUGAAUUUACUUAUGAGGUUUGAUACAUUAUGGAAGGUUGGGCAAUCUAUGAAUCAAGUUAUAAUUAGUUAGAUGUGGAUCUAAAUUAAGUGCAAAAGGAUUGGCCAUAGAAUAUUAUCAUGCAUUAUGAUUAUUUAUUAUUUAAGUGAACUUGUAAACUCAAAAGUUGAUAUGGAGGUAUACUAUGAUUUUGCUUAAUUUUGAAGAUAAUUUUUUUUGAGGCAAAUUAAGAUCCAUUUAUAUAAAGUUGUUUAAGAUUUGGGCUAUGAAACCUUUUUACAGUGCUUGAUUAAAUAUUCUUCGAGGAUUGAAAACUGUAUGUGGAUCAUGUAUGAAACUCCUGUGUAGAUGGAGAAUAUAUUUGGGAUAAAAUUCUAGAAUUUAUUCUUUGGCUUUACCGAGAAUUUGAAAUUUUAGAUCUUUUCAAAUUACAAUAUAGAUUGGGAUUUUGAUUGGAAGUAAUUUAGUAAAUUAUGAGAAUACUGGUUGUUUAAAUUAUUUUAAGAUGAUCAACGAUAUUAACUCUAUGAUUGGAAAAUAUUUUCUGAUGGGUUUCCUUGUUAAGGAGAAUUUCGUUGUCAAAGAAAAGAAUAGUGUUUUUGAUUUUGACUGGAUAUUAUCAUGUUAUUAAUAGGUUCUUCUAUCUGUUGUAAAAAGAGAGAGAGAGAGAGAGAGAGAGAAAUCUGGCAUCCCAAGUCUAGGAUUAAUGGUUUCUGCAUUAGCUGAUCUUGGAUUUGGAAUGUUUUAGCAUAGAUCUCUUUUCUCUUAAAUUUGUAGCUUAUGCUUUUGACAGAAUUAAGAAAUAAUUAUCAAUCUUGAAGAAAUAAUUUUAUUGGAGAUUGUAAAUUAUUCAUCUCUGUGGAUUAUUAUUAAUUUAAAUUAUCGUCUUUGGAUCCAAAUAAUAGAUCUUGUUCCUGUCUAUCAGAGACUAUGUGAUGUAUAUAAAACUUCAAUUCAAAGUUUGGAUUUAAGCCGAUCUAGGGUCUUUUGUCAAUAUUGUUGCGGUUGCUGAUAAAAAUCUAGAUUUGCAUAAAGAAUUUGUAUUUUAGAGGCUUACAUGGUUAUGAUGAAGGAUCUUUGAUAAAUGCUAAAGAUCUCGAUGAAGAAAACGUUAGGAGGGAUGGUUGAGUUGGUUUUACUCAUUUGUAUUGAUUUAACGCCUUCUAAUUUGGACGAGCAUUGAGAGAAUUCUUCUGGUUGAUUUUACGUGGAGUUUGACUUAGAAUCCUCUAGUUGAACUGAUAAGAGAAUUAAGAUUCAAUUAAUUUUGACCCGAGGGUGAAUCUAGACGGAUGGCUGGAGGUAAAGUAGGGGACGAGAAUCAAAGAUUUCUUUUUAGGCUUUACGUGGAAAUUGAAAUUUUGGAUCUCUUUAGUUCAUAAUACAAAAUAGUAUUUUGAUCAAAAAAUUAUUAGUGAAUCCAAAGAAUUUUGGUAGUUUGAAUCAGAGUGCGCAACGAAAGCGUAGUGGUCUGAACUAUUUUUCUAAGUUGGUCAGAAGUAUUAUUCCUUUAAUUCGGCAAGUUUUAAUAACAAAAGACUUGAUUUGAUUUUGAAUUUUUGGAUGUCGCUGCACUAUCUUAGGUUCUCUAAUUUUAUGUCAUGCUAAGGAAAUGAUUAACAUCUUGAGACUAGAAUUAAUAGAUCAUCGAUUUUGAUUUUGGAUCUGGAAUAUUUUGGUGUAGACCUAUUUCCUCCUAAAUCUGAAGCUUGUACUUCUUCAAUUAAUAUCAACCCUCUAUUUGAAAGAACUUGAGGUUGUCAAGUGACUUUGAUGAAUAUUCCACUAGGGAUCGAUUAAUCAAGAGUAGUUGAUAUUUUGACAAAGAAACUUGAUGUUCUUAUUCAAAAUUAAGACGUUGAUUUUUUAUUUAUGAGAGAAAGAAGUUUGAUUUACAUCAUCUAUAAAAGAACCAAAUCUGGAGGUAUUGGACCUUAUUCUUAUGAUAAGAUGAAAUUAUAUUGAUAAGUAGAACUAUUGGAAGACUGAGGUUAGUCUUCUAGUAGAGAAGAAUGUUGUUGGUUCUAUGAAUAAUCUGAAGGUAGCUAUGUAAUUUUCAUCAGUGGGGUUUUCUAUUGUUGACAAUUCCUGGGAGAAUCUUGGGCAUCUUAAAUUUAGUAUUAACAGAUUGAUGGUUACUUGGUUGGACUUAGAUCUGGAAAGUUUUAACAUGGAUCUCCUAUUCCUAAUUCUAACAUUGUUAAUCUGGCUAUUUGAAAGGGCUUGAGGUUUUAUAAGACAAAGGUUGAUCAUUAUAUCAUGGAAAAAAAAAAUGAGGAGCAUUUGAUACUAAAGCUUUCUCCUACUUACAUUUAACCCAUUAAAUUUCUAUGUAGAAUUAAUAAAGAGCAAUUAAUUUCUUCGAAAAAAGAAUUAUGGCAUUUUAAUCCAAGGAUGGAAGGUUAGUCUUAAUUCUGAAAGAGAUCAAAAAAAAAAAAAAAAUCUUGCUAUGAAUCAUAUAUGGAAAGGAUUAAGUUUUGAGAUGCCAUGAUUUUGCCAAAAUCUUGUGAGCUUGCAUUUCGAGAUGGGGAUUGUUUAGGAGCUCGGGAAUGAUAUGAUGUUUCCAUAUUUUCAUAAUUUGAAACUUUAAGUGAGUUAAUUUCGAGGACGAAAUUAUUUUAAGGGGGGAAGAAUGUGAAACCCAAGCUUUGAACCGAACUGGGCCCGGUCCACUUGACCGGCCCAGCCACCAGUUCCGGCCUCACGUGCGUUGCACAUGAGGGCACACAGUGAGGAGGUGGAGGGGAUCCAUCCCGAAGAAGCCGGGAUCCCCUGUUUUAGGGCAUUCUCCUCCUCCCCUUUGAGACCAUUCGAGGUAGAGCCGCCACACCUGAGUUCUUCCUCCUCAGGCUGCCGGCAGAGAGAGAGAGAGAGCGAAAGAGAGAGGGAGAUAGAGGGCUUUGGGUCUUCUUCGGUACGAGGGGUCUUCUUCUUCCUUACCGCCGGAGAGGAAGAAAGCCGCCGGACUUUCGUCGGGGCUGAGGUAAGGCCUUCUCCUCCUCUCUUGGUGAUUAGCCAUGAUGUGUUGAGGUUUUGGAGCCGGCCAAUCACCGGAAACUUGGGUCCAAAAAUCGGUCGGCCGAGUGCUCCGCCACUGGCCUUGUUCACCGCUGGGAGUGGCCGGGCUUGCUCCGCCACCUCCUGCCGCUGUCAGAGCCGGCCACCACGGCCGCCCUUAGGCCCGACCGAGAGGGAAGAAGAAGGGGGCAGGGGGGUCACGGAUCCCCUGUUUCGCCGAAGGGGAAGGAAGAAAGAAGUCGGGGGAAGUUUCUGGAGAAGAAGAGAAGAAAAGAAAAAGAAAAGG